rnacentral:misc_RNA from 1 species
GAUGAAGAACGUAGCGAAAUGCGAUAAGUAGUGUGAAUUGCAGAAUUCAGUGAAUCAUCGAAUCUUUGAACGCACAUUGCGCCCGCUAGUAUUCUGGCGGGCAUGCCUGUUCGAGCGUCAUUUCAACCAUCAAGCCCUGUUUAGGCUUGUGUUGGGGCCCUGCGGUUGCCGCAGCCCCCUAAAUGCAGUGGCGAGCUCGUUGUCACUCCGAGCGCAGUAGCGUAUCUCGCUCUGGGCGUGGCGGCGGGUGCUAGCCGUGAAACACCCACUAAGGUUGACCUCGGAUCAGGUAGGAAUACCCGCUGAACUUAAGCAUAUCAAUAAGCGGAGGA